UACGGGGGGGGCAAGCGUUGUCCGGAAUUAUUGGGCGUAAAGAGCUCGUAGGCGGUUUGUCGCGUCUGCUGUGAAAUCCCGAGGCUCAACCUCGGGUCUGCAGUGGGUACGGGCAGGCUAGAGUGCGGUAGGGGAGAUUGGAACUCCUGGUGUAGCGGUGAAAUGCGCAGAUAUCAGGAAGAACACCGAUGGCGAAGGCGGAUCGCUGGGCCGUAACUGACGCUGAGGAGCGAAAGCAUGGGGAGCGAACAGG
rnacentral:rRNA from 1 species